rnacentral:rRNA from 1 species
UACGUAGGGGGCAAGCGUUGUCCGGAAUCAUUGUGCGUAAAGAGCGUGUAGGCGGCUUGGUAAGUCCGCUGUGAAAGUCCAGGGCUCAACCCUGGAAAGCCGGUGGAAACUGUCAAGCUUGAGUCCGGAAGAGGCGAGUGGAAUUCCUGGUGUAGCGGUGAAAUGCGCAGAUAUCAGGAGGAACACCAAUGGCGAAGGCAGCUCGCUGGGACGGUACUGACGCUGAGACGCGAAAGCGUGGGUAGCAAACAGG